rnacentral:ncRNA from 1 species
CGGCCUGAGGUCGGACGAGGCUACCCGCUGAAUUUAAGCAUAUUACUAAGCGGAGGAAAAGAAACUAACGAGGAUUCCCUCAGUAACGGCGAGUGAAGCGGGACGAGCCCAGCGCCGAAUCCGGCCGCUUAUGGAGCGGACGGAAUUGUGGCGUAUGGAAUUCGCUUCGAGCGCGGACCGGCUGCCCACGUCCUUCUGAUCGAGGCUUCAUCCCAUAACGGGUGUCAGGCCCUGGCGGCGGCUGGACCCGGCUCUCGGUGUCUUCCCGGAGCCGGGGUGU